UUAUCUGAUUCCGCUUGGCACCCUGUCGGAGUGCAAGGUGGACCUUGAAGCAAUCCCUGUGUUCCAUGCGCAGCACACCUUGUUGUGCUGCGGCAAUGGCCCAUGGGUGCAUGCUCGUACUCUCGGAUGCGGAAACUUGUGCGGGUAUGGGUUCACACCCCUGUUUGCCCAAACUAAGCGUUCGUCGCUAGACACGUACGACAGUCGCGCUCGUCUUGACUUUCCAAUGAUCUUGGCAAGGCUCAUGCGAUGCCGGCGUCGCACAGGAAUGCUACCUGGUUGAUCCUGCCAGUAGUCAUAUGC
rnacentral:misc_RNA from 2 species